AGCAAGUGUAGAUAAAUUGGUAAAAUCACUAAUUUUCCAAAUUAGAAUUUACAGGUUCAAGUCCUGUUACUUGCUU
rnacentral:tRNA from 1 species